rnacentral:lncRNA from 1 species
AAUAAGCAGAGGUCCAGAAACAGGGCUACCCACCAAUCGCGUGGUGACAGAGGAGAGAGGGUCCUAAGGACAGAUGAGGAUGUUCUUGAUUUUGUACUCCAAGUAAAUGUAUUUAAGAAUGGUUACCCCAACCUCUGAGAAAUCUGAAAGUGGCAGCUGGAAAUGCCAGGAGAACACAUGGCAACACUGAAUUGACAGAGUUCAAACACCAAAGGGGCAUUUGAGAACUGGAGCUGCCCGAUGGCAAGAGGGCACUUGUAUCAGAAGCUUCACUGCACAGGCCUACAAUAAAUGAAAAAGGCUGCCCAGGGAUGUACUGGAGAUGAUCAGGAGAGACAUGCUUUUCUCCUUCAAACCUUUUGCCUGCUUUGUAUUUCCAGUUUUCACAGCCCACCUUUUUCAGAGACCACACACAGAGACUACACUGAUUGGAAUCAAGUUUAAAGGCAUGGCUUACAUUCAGUCGCUGCUCUUAGACAUCAUCAAUGUGCUUGUGUGUAUAAAAGGCCGUGGCUCCAUUGCGCCCCCUGGUGUGAAGUGUUUGUUCCACCAGAACUCCGAAUGUCCAGAAUUCCAUCUCCAUUUUGCUUUGAAACAUUGAGUUGACUAUUAAUAUGACCAUAUUAAUG